GAUGGGAAAAUUGGUACUUGGAAAAACAAUGGCUCAUCAGCUUUUGCUACAGGUCAUCACUAUGGGCUGGAUGGCUGUUUUAUGGAAUAAUAGACCAUUUUCAGAUGCUGGAAGGAGCUGGUAACUGAAGACCAGAGAAGAGAAGAAGCUGCUAUUGAAUGCUCAUCAUCUGUUUCCUUUAGAAAUGUGAGGUGCUGGUUAAGAGACUCAGAUAAACUCCCUCUGUGUUGGCUAAGCACUCGCAGCCCUAACCUUCCUGCAGAAACUGUCCUUCACAUAUCUGGCUGCUGUCCUGAAAUCAUCCCGACCAAGGUAAUUGGACAGAAUGCUGUUAACCCUUGAUACCAGAGAUUCUCAAAAACUAACUCCAUACACGCUGGUGCCAAGGAGCUAGCAGAGUUCAAACGGUCUGAAUCCGAAUGCUCUACAAGUUACCUCCUGUAGGGUGUUUGCAUUAAUCAUUACUGGACUCCUGCAUGUCUUUGCAUUAAAAUGUGUUGUGGCUGUUUA